CUUGGUCAUUUAGAGGAAGUAAAAGUCGUAAAAAGUGCCGUAGGUGAACCUGCGGAAGGAUCAUUAACAAAUCAACAAGGGCUAGAGAGCGAAAGCUUUCUAUGCAUAUAUAAACCCGAACCCGUGCUUCACAGCCGGGCUAGGUGUGUAUUCUUUGCUUUUAAAGCAUUGGGUACACGGCCGAGUCUGAUGGUGCGCAAGCACUUGUCAGUCAAAGCCACAUAGACGCUUGUAUGUUUUGACAGAUCUAGUUGACAUCAUAAAAAUGACAACUUUUAACAAUGGAUCUCUUGGCUCUUGCAACGAUGAAGAACGCAGUGAAAUGCGAAACGUAAUGCGAUUUGCACGAAUCUGUGAGUCAUCAAGUCUUUGAACGCACCUUGCACCAUAUCAGCAAUGAUAUGGUAUACCUGUUUGAGAAUCGUAAACCUCCUCAUCUACACUUGUGUAGGUGGACAUGUCGGUUCAAAUAGUGUAUUUGUCCGAUCAAAUAGAGUAGGUUUGGAACAGGCUAGUGGCCUGGGACACUGUGUGCUAGAGACCUGUACCUUAACAAGUACAAUGUCUUCUCACGGUGCGUCCUAGGUCAAUUUAAAGCUAGUCUGGAAAGGACCUUAACUGCGCCAAGACUUGUUCUUGGGCAACCCCCUCUCUCUUUGAUCUCAAUCAGUAAAGGCUACCCGCUGACUUAAGCAUAUCAAUAAGCGGAGGA
rnacentral:rRNA from 1 species